CCUUAAAACCUGUUUCCGGCACCGUCGGCUCUUCUCCUGGAUUACACAUUCACAGAUUAAUUUAUUGCUAGAACAGAGUCUCCAGUUCAGAGAGGUGGUUGUUCUUGUUGUUUGGCCAAUCAAAGGCUGAUGAGGUAGGCAGUGCAACCUGGCUGGCACGGGGUAGCAACUCCCCGCUUAAUAAGUAAACACAAAUACCACAGCCUACUUAUCACCACAGCUUCCGCAGUAGGUCCGAGGGAAAAACAAGCGUCCAACGACGUCCUUCCCGAGCAGACUUUGAGAAAGACGCCCACAAGGCUCGCGACCAAGCAGAGCCAAGGCCACCUCACCUGUCCGAAGGAGAUAUGAAAUUAGCCAGCAGUGACUUAUUUGGCAAUAAAGAACAUGAAGAACGUGAUUUCUGAACCUGAACAAGAAGAGAUGGUACCUGGACACUGAAGAAUCAUCACAUGCUCUGAUAUGUACAAUAAACCGAUAUCUCUUCUCUACCCA